rnacentral:rRNA from 1 species
GAUGAACGCUGGCGGCGUGCCUAAUACAUGCAAGUCGAGCGAACAGAUGAGGAGCUUGCUCCUCUGACGUUAGCGGCGGACGGGUGAGUAACACGUGGAUAACCUACCUAUAAGACUGGGAUAACUUCGGGAAACCGGCGCUAAUACCGGAUAAUAUAUUGAACCGCAUGGUUCAAUAGUGAAAGACGGUUUUGCUGUCACUUAUUGAUGGAUCCGCGCCGCAUUAGCUAGUUGGUAAGGUAACGGCUUACCAAGGCAACGAUGCGUAGCCGACCUGAGAGGGUGAUCGGCCACACUGGAACUGAGACACGGUCCAGACUCCUACGGGAGGCAGCAGUAGGGAAUCUUCCGCAAUGGGCGAAAGCCUGACGGAGCAACGCCGCGUGAGUGAUGAAGGUCUUCGGAUCGUAAAACUCUGUUAUUAGGGAAGAACAAAUGUGUAAGUAACUAUGCACGUCUUGACGGUACCUACUCAGAAAGCCACGGCUAACUACGUG